GAUGAAGAACGUAGUGAAAUGCGAUAAGUAGUGUGAAUUGCAGAAUUUAGUGAAUCAUCGAAUCUUUGAACGCACAUUGCGCCCUAUAGUAUUCUGUAGGGCAUGCCUGUUCGAGCGUUAUUGAGACCUCAAGCUCUGCUUGGAAAUGGGCGCUUGUCUUGCCUUGCAGACUCGCCUUAAAACCAUUGGCAGCUGAUUUACAAUGUUUGGUGCACAGUACAUGAGCCCAAGUGUUGCAAUGAGUGGCCCAAAAGUAUACAAUAGAAGCUUAACCUCGGAUCAGGUAGGGAUACCCGCUGAACUUAAGCAUAUCAAUAAGCGGAGGA
rnacentral:misc_RNA from 1 species